rnacentral:rRNA from 1 species
GUGAGGAAUAUUGGUCAAUGGGCGGGAGCCUGAACCAGCCAAGUCGCGUGAAGGAAGAAGGAUCUAUGGUUCGUAAACUUCUUUUGCAGGGGAAUAAAGUGCAGGACGUGUCCUGUUUUGUAUGUACCCUGAGAAUAAGGAUCGGCUAACUCCGUGCCAGCAGCCGCGGUAAUACGGAGGAUCCGAGCGUUAUCCGGAUUUAUUGGGGUUAAAGGGUGCGUAGGUGGUUUGAUAAGUCAGCGGUGAAAGUUUGCAGGUUAACUGUAUAGAUGCCGUUGAAACUGUCGGACUUGAGUGUAAAUGAGGUAGGCGGAAUGCGUGGUGUAGCGGUGAAAUGCAUAGAUAUCACGCAGAACUCCGAUUGCGAAGGCAGCUUACUAAGCUACAACUGACACUGAAGCACGAAAGCGUGGGGAUCAAACAGGAUUAGAUACCCGUGUAGUCC